UACGUAGGGGGCAAGCGUUGUCCGGAUUUAUUGGGCGUAAAGAGCGUGUAGGCGGCUUGGUAGGUCCGCUGUGAAAACUCGAGGCUCAACCUCGAGAUGUCGGCGGAAACCACUUGGCUAGAGUCCGGAAGAGGAGAGUGGAAUUCCCGGUGUAGCGGUGAAAUGCGCAGAUAUCGGGAAGAACACCUAUGGCGAAGGCAGCUCGCUGGGACGUUACUGACGCUGAGACGCGAAAGCGUGGGGAGCAAACAGG
rnacentral:rRNA from 1 species